UCCCUGGUGGUUCAGUGGUUAAGACUCUGUGCUUCCAAUGCAGGGGGCAUGGGUUCAAUCCCUGGUCAGGGAA
rnacentral:tRNA from 1 species